AUCCGUAACUUUGGGAAAAGGAUUGGCUCUAAAAGAUAAAAUCUGAAAGACUGUUUAAAGAAAAAAAGAUGUCUAAUUUUAAAGGAAUGUUUGUAAAGAUAGAUUUUUGGGAGGUGAAAUUUGAUUGGAAGGGGAUUGUUAAAAGGGAAAUAUAAAAAUGGAUCGAAUUUUGGGUUAUUUAAUAUCUAAUUUAGAACUGGUACGGACAAGGGGAAUCCGACUGUUUAAUUAAAACAAAGCAUUGUGAUGGUUUUGAAUAAAUGAUGACACAAUGUGAUUUCUGCUCAGUGCUCAGAAUGUCAAUAUGAAGAGAUUUAACCAAGCGCGGGUAAAACAGCGGGAGUAACUAUGACUCUCUUAAGGUAGCCAAAUGCCUCGUCGUCCAAUUAGCGACGCGCAUGAAUGGAUUAAUGAGAUUCCCCACUGUCCCUAAUUACUAUCUAGCGAAACCACAGCCAAGGGAACGGGCUUGGCAAAAUUAGCGGG
rnacentral:rRNA from 1 species